rnacentral:rRNA from 1 species
AUGCAAGUCGAACGGCAGCACGAAAGAGCUUGCUCUUUUGGUGGCGAGUGGCGGACGGGUGAGUAAUGUAUCGGAACGUGCCCAGUAGCGGGGGAUAACUACUCGAAAGAGUAGCUAAUACCGCAUACGCCCUACGGGGGAAAGGGGGGGAUUCUUCGGAACCUCUCACUAUUGGAGCGGCCGAUAUCGGAUUAGCUAGUUGGUGGGGUAAAGGCUCACCAAGGCAACGAUCCGUAGCUGGUUUGAGAGGACGACCAGCCACACUGGGACUGAGACACGGCCCAGACUCCUACGGGAGGCAGCAGUGGGGAAUUUUGGACAAUGGGGGAAACCCUGAUCCAGCCAUCCCGCGUGUAUGAUGAAGGCCUUCGGGUUGUAAAGUACUUUUGGCAGAGAAGAAAAGGUGCGUCCUAAUACGACGCGCCGCUGACGGUAUCUGCAGAAUAAGCACCGGCUAACUACGUGCCAGCAGCCGCGGUAAUACGUAGGGUGCAAGCGUUAAUCGGAAUUACUGGGCGUAAAGCGUGCGUAGGCGGUUCGGAAAGAAAGAUGUGAAAUCCCAGGGCUCAACCUUGGAACUGCAUUUUUAACUGCCGAGCUAGAGUAUGUCAGAGGGGGGUAGAAUUCCACGUGUAGCAGUGAAAUGCGUAGAGAUGUGGAGGAAUACCGAUGGCGAAGGCAGCCCCCUGGGAUAAUACUGACGCUCAGACACGAAAGCGUGGGGAGCAAA